AAAGUUUUAAGUUAUACAAACUUGAGGCCUUCAAAGCCUUUUAAGAGAUACUCUCAAACUUUG
rnacentral:tRNA from 1 species